rnacentral:rRNA from 1 species
CCUGAGAAACCUAAAAGAUCGAAUGAAGAUAUUCAUCGUCAAUAUAUAAAAUAUAUAUAUAAUAUAUGAUAUAAAUUUUAUUAUAGCUUAAUUGUUAUUUUAUAAAUUUAUACAUAUAUGUAUUAUUUUAUUGUUUUAUAUUGUCGGCGUGCACUUAUCUUCUAGUAGAACAUUGUAACCCGUUAAAUAUUAAUUUACGGCCUUAUUGGGUAGCCUUUAAUUUUUUUGUUAAAAAUUAAAUUAAAGACCAAUUUGUGUUUCCUAAUUAAUUGUUUGACGGUAUUCAUAUGGUAUUAAGUCGCUUGAUUAUAAAUUAUGCGUUCUUACCUGUUGCAAGCAAGAUUAUUUUUUUAAUAGUUUACGGACCUAGUGCCGUCUAUUAUAAAUAAUCAGCUGUUGGCUAACUUGGGUUUAUCUAGAACUGACUUUAUAUAUAAUACCG